UAAUACGAAGGGACCUAGCGUAGUUCGGAAUUACUGGGCUUAAAGAGCUCGUAGGUGGUUAAGAAAGUUGGUGGUGAAAUCCCAAGGCUUAACCUUGGAACUGCCACCAAAACUUUUUGACUAGAGUAUGAUAGAGGUAAGUGGAAUUUCUAGUGUAGAGGUGAAAUUCGUAGAUAUUAGAAAGAACACCAAUUGCGAAGGCAACUUUCUGGAUCAUUACUGACACUGAGGAGCGAAAGCAUGGGUAGCGAAGAGGAUUAGAUACCCUCGUAGUCCAUGCCGUAAACGAUGUGUGCUAGACGUUGGAAACUUAGUUUUCAGUGUCGCAGCGAAAGCGUUAAGCACACCGCCUGGGGAGUACGACCGCAAGGUUA
rnacentral:rRNA from 1 species